ACUUUUGAGUUUGAUUAAAAUACAUGUAAUUAUGAAACUUUUAUUUCCCUACAGAUGUCAACAAUGAAAAUGAAACAAAUCAAUCAAUGGAUCGAAUUAAAAGUUUUGGUAAAAGAAAACAGUUGCAUAUACAUGCUGACAAGAAAGGACUUACAUGAAGAAGAAGUGUUGUACAACUAUGAGAAUGGAAGGAGGAUUUGGUGUUUAAUUGAGGAAAUGGAUAAAAAAGUAUGUAUGUGUCGAGCAACUACAGCCACCUGAUAGAAGGGUAAAUUAGAAAGUUCAGAUUACAUUAUGCCAACAGAGAUGAUAGAGAUGAUAAAAAUGCCAACCAAGCUAAAAGUUGUCCAGGAAAACUUUUGUAUUGGAGCAAGACAAGUUAAUGACUUAAUGAUAGACUCACUGCAGAGAGAGAUGUUGGAAAAGUGGAUUUUAUUAACAAAAGGAAGAUAAGAUCCAGGCUACCAACCUCUGAGAGAAACACUUCAAAAAAGAGCAUUAAAAUUCAAGACAUUCAGUUACAGUACUCUAUAAAUAUUAUAAAGUAAAAGUUAUUUAUUUAAUUUGGAAAAGCAUUUGAGAAAAGAAGAUGUGAAAAAGACUUUGUCCAUUUCAAGCUAUCUGUUGUCAAGUACCAGGCAUAUGUGGAUUUUAUUCAACAACUUUAUUAUGAAUUUGAGAAGCAACUUUCAAUAUCUGGAAGCAUUUUUAUUAGUAGGAAUGUAGAUGUUAAAUUAUAUAAAAAUUAUUUUUUAAAAGAUAUUUGUCAAGAAAAUUUUUGUAGAUUAAUAACAGGUAAAAUAUGUAAUGAGAGAUCUUUUAUUGAUCAUUUGCAGUAGUAAGCGACACUUGUUAUAAUUAUACCCCCACUCAGAAGGAGAGGGGGUAUACUGUUUUACCCUUGUGUGUCUGUCUGUGUGUCUGUCCGUAACAGUUUUUCAUCGCAGUUUUCUCAGCAACUACUCAUCAAAGAUGCUUGAAAUUUUAACACUUCUCUUCGACUAGGCAUGCCAUAUUGUGGGAUUCAUGAGAGUGUAUAUUCACAUCAGAGCGGGGGUAUUACUAGUGAGCAUUGGCUCAUAGACUUCCUGUUUGCUGAAGUUUGUGUUUGACUUUCAUAUCUUUAACAUGAUGUGGCUUAAGGACAUGCACAGUAUAGUUUGAACUAUAUUUUCUUAUUCUCUCUAUAAUUUAAGAAAUCCAGUAAUUGAAAGAUCUUUGUGCAAUUUUAUGAUACCUGGUAAUGCUUGCACACCUUAUCUGAAUCAAAUUUUGAGGAAAUACCACAUAAAACAUUUUUUUUUUUG